UACUACAAUACUGUCUUGCUUCCAAACAA
rnacentral:piRNA from 1 species